CCAGCGGGGGCCAGACGGUUAGGCAAUGGUCUGUAAAACCAUCAUAAGCAGGUUCAACUCCUGCCCGCUGGA
rnacentral:tRNA from 1 species